rnacentral:other from 1 species
GUAGCCCUGCUGUGUGCGUGAUUGCCGUCCUUGCGUUUUGAGCCAACACCUACCGAAACGGGGGCUGUCUCUUCAGAGAGGAAUGCGAUAGCCUACGGGCAAGGCAGACCGCUGAGCAGGCCCCCACCUGCGAAAGCAGGUUCAAAACACAUCGGCACACGGCACGGCGGGGUUCGG